rnacentral:rRNA from 1 species
GUACACAUGCAAGUCGAGCGGCAGCACGGGUACUUGUACCUGGUGGCGAGCGGCGGACGGGUGAGUAAUGCCUAGGAAUCUGCCUGGUAGUGGGGGAUAACGCUCGGAAACGGACGCUAAUACCGCAUACGUCCUACGGGAGAAAGCAGGGGACCUUCGGGCCUUGCGCUAUCAGAUGAGCCUAGGUCGGAUUAGCUAGUUGGUGAGGUAAUGGCUCACCAAGGCGACGAUCCGUAACUGGUCUGAGAGGAUGAUCAGUCACACUGGAACUGAGACACGGUCCAGACUCCUACGGGAGGCAGCAGUGGGGAAUAUUGGACAAUGGGCGAAAGCCUGAUCCACCCAUGCCGCGUGUGUGAAGAAGGUCUUCCGAUUGUAAAGCACUUUAAGUUGGGAGGAAGGGCAGUUACCUAAUACAUAUCUGUUUUGCCGAACCAAAAGAAUAACCACCGGCUUACGCCUUUCCAGGCUU